UACGUAGGGUGCAAGCGUUGUUCGGAAUCAUUGGGCGUAAAGCGCGUGUAGGCUGUUAGUUAAGUCAGAUGUGAAAGCCCUCGGCUCAACCGGGGAAGUGCAUUUGAAACUAACUGGCUAGAAGACGGUAGAGGAAGGUGGAAUUCCAAGUGUAGAGGUGAAAUUCGUAGAUAUUUGGAGGAAUACCUGUGGCGAAGGCGGCCUUCUGGACCGAUCUUGACGCUGAGACGCGAAAGCGUGGGGAGCAAACAGG
rnacentral:rRNA from 1 species